CUGAGGUGGGAGGAGCGCAUAAGAUUGGGGAAACUGAGUCUGAGUUAAGUAAGUUUCCCUGUGGUUCACUACGGAGCGGGAGGUAGAACUCACAUCGCCGAGAGCAGCUUGAUGCAGUGAUCCAUCCACCCGCUGCAUUGCCUACUGAGAACUGGACUCUGGUCUUCGUCUUUGCCCAAAAAAUUCCUUUCUAAGGGGGCCUGAACAUUCUCUCGAACACAUUCCUCGUCAUCCAGUAGAGAAAGUAUCAAAAAGGAAUCUUCUUUAAUUAGGCCCUAAAAUAAGAUUACAACCCACAAAAGAGGAGCUGGCCUACAAAUACUUCCAUUAUGA